AUUGAACGCUGGCGGCAGGCCUAACACAUGCAAGUCGAACGCGUGGCGGACGGGUGAGUAAUGUCUGGGAAACUGCCCGAUGGAGGGGGAUAACUACUGUAAACGGUAGCUAAUAUCGCACACCAUAGCAUGUGCACCGAUGGGAGUAGCUUGUAGGUGAGGUAACGGCUCACCUAGGCGACGAUCCCUAGCUGGUCUGAGAGGAUGACCAGCAACACUGGAACUGAGACACGGUCCAGACUCCUACGGGAGGCAGCAGUGGGGAAUAUUGCACAAUGGGCGCAAGCCUGAUGCAGCCAUGCCGCGUGUAUGAAGAAGGCCUUCGGGUUGUAAAGUACUUUCAGCGGGGAGGCGUUACCCGCAGAAGAAGCACCGGCUAACUCCGUGCCAGCAGCCGCGGUAAUAC
rnacentral:rRNA from 1 species